rnacentral:pre_miRNA from 1 species
AUUCAUCUCGCCUGACACUUUUCUCAAACCUCAUUCAAUGAAGGUGAGCAAAGUCUCAGGUGUGGCGGCUC